rnacentral:lncRNA from 1 species
AGAGUGAGGAGGGACUGGAGGGAGCUGGGUCUCCAUUCUGCAUUUACUGGUAAGCCCCUGGGGUGCUGUGUGUUUUCUGAAGCUACCACAGCAAGUCACCACAAGGCUGUGACUGACACAACGAAAGCUUGCUGUCAUUCUGCAGACUAGUAGUCCAGCAUGGCCUCAGGGGACAACAUGAAGCCGUUGAUAUGACUGCAUCUCUUACUAGAAGAUUCUUAACCAAUUCCAAAGUCAUCUAGGAUGACAUUUCCUAAUACAGUGUAGAAAAGUCUAAUCUGAGAAUGUGAUGUCACUCACAUUCUCCAGUGGCUUUAUUAGAAUUUCUGUAUUAAAAAAACAUAAGGAAAAACCUCUUGACUGUUAAGGGGGAACUUGAGGAGAACAUCUCCGGGGAUUACUAAAUAUGAUGAUUUGAAGACUUUCUCAAGAUCUUCUCAGCAGGCUUUCAGAAGCUGGCUUCUACUUCUUUGUCUUGCUAGUGACAUUUGGGGACAGUGCUUAGAGGACUCAGGUUGCCUUCCCCUUGCUGCUGGCUUCUGGCCCUCUUCCUUCAUAUCCAAGUUUCUAGACUUGACUCUGACACAAAGGCCUUUGGGAGAACAGACUCAAGGGACAAGGGGUGAUGCUUCGCUUCCCUCAUUGGAGCCCCUUUCAGAGGGGAAAACUCACAGGCAGGAACCUGCGUGCCAGCCCUGACCCAGAGCAACAGUGAACAGUCCCCGCUGUGUUCCACAGCGCUCAUCCAGAAACACUGCGGGGUUUCCAUCACAUUCUGCAGUCCACAGGAAACCUGGAAGCUGAGUCUUUUUCUUCUGUGAUCUCUGCCUCCCCUGCUGGCCUGUGCUCUAUGGGAGCUCAUUAGCUGAACCCCAGGACCAAGGACAAGCAAGCAGGGCUGAAUAGAGACUUUAUGAACAGCUGCUACUCCGUGGUGUUGUCUCCUUGUGAAGAAAGGGGUGAGCCUGGAAGUAGAAAGCAGGGGAUUUGGUUUUGUUAUUGCGUAAUCUUCCUGGAAGGCGGGCGAGGGGGGUGGUAAGAAGAGCAUUUGUCACUUGAACUGUCUGCUUGGGACAGUAUUCCCUGACCCCUUUCCAGGACUUCCAUAACUUGGCACUGAGUUGGCCCUUAAGUUGGCAAACAAACCUUGGCACUGAGCAACACUUAAGAGGUAGAAAGAAUGUUUUCAUGCCUUCAGCAGCUCCAGCAGACUCUGAAGGCUGAGCGGUAGCAGUUCUAUCGCCUGCCAUCCAGCCCCAGAGUAGAAGGGUCCGGCAUCUCCAGCCAGGUAGCCUGUAUGUCAGGCUCACAUAGGCUAUGUAUGGCAUCUCCAUCUCGGGAGAACAAGCGUUGAUGCUUCAGUUCUGGCCUCGUCAUUACCAAUGUCCUUCAAUGGUCCCUCUUUACUCUGAGGGGAGCAGAAAAGGGGGUCUCAUUUGGAUGCCAUGAGAUAAGCUAAUUUCUAGAACCUUCUCUAUCUUCUGUCAGUUCUAGUUUGGAUUAGCGAUUAGCUGUCAGAACCAGACAGACAACUCUACUCAGACAAGUACCAGAUGGGGAGCGCUGAGUCCUCGGGUGCCGAAGGGACCUCAGAUGAUUCCUACAGGGCCUGUGCUUUCUUCCCCUGCUUAGAGAACAGCACAUAGGUCCUUAGCGGCUUGCACAUAAACAUAAAUGAAAGAUCUUUAGCCCCAUAAGAAAGAAAAAA